UCUUCCGUAGUACAGUGAUCAGUAUAUGAGCUUGUCAUCCGUCCGGAUCUCGCUCAGGACCCGGGUUCAAUUUCCGGCGGGAGAG
rnacentral:tRNA from 1 species